UCCGGUUUAACACCGGCAGUCUCCAUAGAGUGCCCAACUGAAUGAUGGCAACUAGGGAUAAGGGUUGCGCUCGUUAAGGGACUUAACCCGACAUCUCACGAUACGAGCUGACGACAGCCAUGCAGCACCUGUCUCCCGGCCUCCGAAGAGGAAACCGUAUUUCUACGGCUGUCCGGGGAUGUCAAACCCAGGUAAGGUUCUUCGCGUUGCAUCGAAUUAAACCACAUGCUCCACCGCUUGUGCGGGCCCCCGUCAAUUCCUUUGAGUUUUAAUCUUGCGACCGUACUUCCCAGGCGGGGUACUUAAUGCGUUAGCGUCGACACUGCAGGGGUCAAUUCCUGCAACAUCUAGUACCCAUCGUUUACGGCGUGGACUAC
rnacentral:misc_RNA from 1 species